UACAAUGUUUAACAAUAGGAAAUAUUCAAGAAUAAAUAAAAUAAAAGUUUAAUCCUAACAACACAAAACAUUCCAGGAAUGUAGGUACUACCGUUCUAUUCCCUGAACAUCUAUCUGAUUAAAUUAUGGGUGGAAAGUUACCACAAGAUAUUCUAUGAACAUAGUACAAUGUCUUCCUGGAGGGGUAAAAUUUUCCAUUACAAGAUUUUAAGAGAGGCCAUUUAUUGUACUGUUCAAUUUGCGUUCAUUUUCAAAUUUGCCGCGCGAGUAUCUAUGUAGCGUCUCGUGGUCAUUGGUCAUCACAUUUCAUUUUCAUAACAUAACCGAUAACCUAAAAAUUUAGUAAAAAAGUAAAAAUUUUGAUUGGAAAAAAAUGCAUCGAUAAGGGGGUGUGGGAAAUGGAAAUUAGUGGCUUUUUUGCUGUACUGUCUGCUAGUUUUUGCUCUGGGCACUGGCUAGAUCUCUUGUUUAAACAAUUUUAAUCAGCUGAAAGUGGCCUACAAAAAAAAACCAAGAAGGAAAUGUAUAGCCUUGUGGCUAUGAAAGGCAAAAGAGAGAUAUAAAAAGUGUAUUGGCUAGUUGGACGAAAGUCCACAUUGUCCAUGCAUAAUAAGUUAUUACAUUAUCAACAAAUAUCAAGAAGAUAGCAGGGUCACGAGCAUCAACUUCAUGAGUUCAAGAAUAUCGAGGAAAUCCAGCUCCUCGAUACUACUGGGCAAACUAGAAGAUUGAAGAGGACAAAUCCUUUUGAACUAGUUUGAGUAAUAGGUGAUAGUGAAAAACGGAGCAUAGUGCUUGUGUGCUGUGCCUGUGUAUGUUAGAAUAGUGCACGAUCUUGUUAGAUUAGAUAAGAGAAGCUAUGGGGUAAGCUCUUCAUUUUAAGAAACAGUAGUAAUUUAGGCUAAAUUAAAAUUGCUCAUUGGUCAGUUAUGACCAGAUUGUUUUUUUAUGUUUGGCAAAAAGGACUUAAGUCAGAAUUGCACAUUGAUAAUGUUUUGAUGAUUUCUGGACCAGAAAAAAACUGUAUGUACAGUAGAAUCUACUACAGUACUGUAGAAAUCAUCAAAACAUUAUCGAUGUGCAAUUCUGACUUAAGCCCUUUUUCCCAAACAUCAGAGAAUUGUAAUGUACAAUAAUUCUCCUAUCUGCUUUUUCAUGAAUUUUGUAGGAGACGAAAAACCAUUUUUAGGAUCAUCUGCUUUCACAUGUUUUGUAGUAAAUAGAUAGUUGAAUUUACUACAAAACAUGUCAAAAAAUAUAUGAAAACAGGAGGUGACUAUAAAAAAAGUUUUUAGUCUCUCUUACAAAACUCAUGAAAAAACAAAUCGGAGGUAUGUCACAUCAGUGACUAAGAAUGUCUAAAAAAUAUACUUUGAUGUCCCAAGAACCAAAUAUAACCUACAGUCCAUCUAAUUUACUUACUGUUGCACGUCAUUAUCUACGCCAGAGAUCUAAGUUGACAUAGUUGCCAAAGUAUAAAAAGAUCCUGAAUCCAUUUUAAAUCAAAUAUGUCACAUAAUUAUUGUAAACGUGGAUUAUACAACAAAACAAAUUAAUAUUCAAUGUAAAUAAGUAAAAACUUAAGAAAUAGAGAACAAGAAUUAAGUUAUAAUCUUUUAAGAUUUGCAGUGCAAGAGUUUUUGCACUGCAUUGUUAAUAAUUAAAAAACGGCUCCGAACUCUUGGCAAAAAGCCGGUAGGUUUCUUUGUAUAAGUAUGUCUACAAUAACAACUAAAGAAGUUGUCAGAUACCUCGAUUAUUCCAAGUCGUUAUAAAAUUAGGUGAAAUUUAUAUUUUUAUAGUAGAGGAUCUUUUUAUAGUAAAGUAAAUAAUAAAAACAGUAAAUAUAAUAAAUAAAACAGAUACUUAUAGUAAAGAAUAUUAACAAAAUAUGAAGUGUCAUCACUGUAACUGUCAAAUAAUUGUUACCAAUUUAUUCUAAAAUAUCACCUUCGUUCGAUUACAGUUACAGUGUGAUCCGAACAAAUCUGCUUCAUAAAAACGCUUUAUAAUCCAUUUAUACAAAUUAAAUGAAACAUAUUAUUGUGUAUUUCUUUAGGUUAACAUUAAUAGAAAUCUUCAAAUAUUAUUUCUACGCGUAUAUAAUAAAAUAUGUCUAGUGGCUGUAAUUCCAGUGUACUCGGCAAAGUGAUUCUAAAAAAGAACACACCUACCGCCUAAAUAUUUCGUGUUGGUAUCAUGCAACCUCACAGGCUACGACGCGGAUGACGCGCAACAGUUAGUAAAUUAGAUGAAGUAUGUAGAUAUAUACAGGGUGUAACAAAAAUACAGGUCAUAAAUUUAAUCACAUAUUCUGGGACCAAAAAUAGUUUGAUUGGACCUAACUUACCUUAGUACAAAUGUGCACACAAGAAAAGUUACAGCCCUUUGAAGUUAUAUAUAUAUAUAUAAUAGCACCAAGGGUCUUAGAGGUACAUGGCUUGAAAAGUUUGUUUUUUUUCUUCAUUUUCACGUUUCUUUAUGUACUGAGAUCUUCUCUGGCUUGAUAUGUGAUUUUUCUCCAUUCCUUCCUGUUAUUCAUUUUUCUUUUCUGACCCUGUAGCACCAUUCUUUCCAAAUCUUUUUCGACCUCUUGCUUCCAUCUAUUUUUCGGCCUUCCUCUUCUCUUUCUUGAAGCUGUAGUGUAGUUUAGUACCAUUUUUGGAGUCCUCGUGUUUGGCAUCCUUUCAAUGUGACCUCGCCAUCUAAGUCUCUGUGCCUUUAUCAUUCAUUUGAAGUUACAAGAUGAAGUGAUUUUUUCCAAUAUAUCGAAAACUAUUAGAGAUUUUUUAUUGAAAAUGGACAUGUGGCAUUAUUAUGGCAGCA